rnacentral:rRNA from 1 species
CUACGGGGGGCAGCAGUGGGGAAUAUUGCGCAAUGGGCGAAAGCCUGACGCAGCAACGCCGCGUGAGGGAUGAAGGCCUUCGGGUUGUAAACCUCUUUCAGCAGGGAAGAAGCGAAAGUGACGGUACCUGCAGAAGAAGCACCGGCUAACUACGUGCCAGCAGCCGCGGUGAAUACGUAGGGUGCAAGCGUUGUCCGGAUUUAUUGGGCGUAAAGAGCUCGUAGGCGGUUAGUCACGUCGGAUGUGAAAAUCCAAGGCUUAACCUUGGACCUGCAUUCGAUACGGGCUGACUAGAGUGUUGUAGGGGAGACUGGAACUCCUGGUGUAGCGGUGAAAUGCGCAGAUAUCAGGAAGAACACCGAUGGCGAAGGCAGGUCUCUGGGCAACUACUGACGCUGAGGAGCGAAAGCGUGGGGAGCAAACAGGAUUAGAUACCCGUGUAGUC